rnacentral:lncRNA from 1 species
UUGUCGUCAGGUACCGGUUGUUCGAUUUAAAAGAUUGCACCUUUCCGGAAGACGACUGUACCGGAGGAUCCCGUAAGUACCCGACCUCCAUUUUUUUCCAGAUAGGUUUUUGUUUUUGUUUUGGAUUUGAAUCGGCGCUCACCUCCCUUUUUUCCAGAUCAGUAUCCGCCGUCACUAAUGCCACCACGAUCCACAACUCCUCUCCGAACGACACGAAGCCGAUCAGCCAAAAUGACCACCUUUGCCAAAUAUAUUGGAGGAUGUAACUGAUUUUCGAUGCAAGAAUGUCUCUGAUCGUGUUGGCCAAACCAACAUGUAUCACUCCAAUUCAAAAGCGGAGGUUAGUUUAAGUUCAUAAUUGCUCAUCACAAUUUUUAUUGCCUUUUUUUCCGUUGAAAUUCUCAAUUACAGUUGUUUGGAUGUUUUAUUUUUUGGGGUUGAGGUAGUACUUGUAUUACCCUGAAUAUCUAUUUUGUUCCUUCUAUUACAAAGAUUGUUUUUAGUUUAUUAUUACAAGAUUGUUAACUGGCUCGUUGUAGGUACCUUUGGUUCCUACGUUGGAAAAGUUACAUGAUUUGAUUUCUUGAAUUUGUUACUAUUUAGUUGGUGGCUUGAAUAGGUUGGUUUUUUAUUUUUCAGAAAAAUCAAGAUUGCUUUUUGUAGUUCCUUCAAUUCCAGUUUUGUUUGAUUGUUUGUUUAGUAUAGUUUUGUUGUAGUUAUAAUUGGUUCCGAAUUUAGAUGAGGAACGUGAUUUUAUUGCCAUGAUUUUUUGCAUAUUGUGUUGGUAUUCUGAAUAAAUUGGUUCCUGAUGGUUACGUUCAAUUGUAGGAUAAUGCCAAGGGUAUGGUGGUGUGUGAUGAUGUGUUGUCGUUGUAGCCCGAAAAGGAUCAUGGAUGUGAUUUUUUUGAAGGCUGUUACCUUUGAUGAUACGUGCUUUAGAAUCGACUAGAUUUGGUGGUACUAUAUUAUUUCAAAUCGAAUUUAUGUGCGAUUAUUUUAACCAGUGGACAUUGGAAGCUUAUGAUUCUGAAAACAAGUCAUUUUUCUUUAUGAAGAAGAAUC